rnacentral:pre_miRNA from 1 species
UGGUGAUGAUGAUGAUGAUGAUGAUGAUGAUGAUGAUGAUGAGGCUGAUAAUGAUCUUCAUUGUGUUUCUUUCCUUUCUCUCCCUCCUCCUCCUCCUCCUCCUCCUCCUCCUCAUCAUCAUCAUCGUCAUUAUCACCAGCA